rnacentral:rRNA from 1 species
UGCGUAGGCGGAUUGUUAAGUCAGUGGUGAAAGUCUACGGCUCAACCGUAGAAGUGCCAUUGAUACUGGCAGUCUUGAGUACAGUAGAGGUAGGCGGAAUUUAUGGUGUAGCGGUGAAAUGCAUAGAUACCAUAAAGAACACCUAUAGCGAAGGCAGCUUACUAUGCUGUAACUGACGCUGAGGCACGAAAGCGUGGGGAGCGAACAGGAUUAGAUACCAUGGUAGUCC